AGUGAACGCUGGCGGUAGGCCUAACACAUGCAAGUCGAACGGCAGCACAGUAAGAGCUUGCUCUUAUGGGUGGCGAGUGGCGGACGGGUGAGGAAUACAUCGGAAUCUACUUUUUCGUGGGGGAUAACGUAGGGAAACUUACGCUAAUACCGCAUACGACCUACGGGUGAAAGCAGGGGAUCUUCGGACCUUGCGCGAUUGAAUGAGCCGAUGUCGGAUUAGCUAGUUGGCGGGGUAAAGGCCCACCAAGGCGACGAUCCGUAGCUGGUCUGAGAGGAUGAUCGGCCACACUGGAACUGAGACACGGUCCAGACUCCUACGGGAGGCAGCAGUGGGGAAUAUUGGACAAUGGGCGCAAGCCUGAUCCAGCCAUACCGCGUGGGUGAAGAAGGCCUUCGGGUUGUAAAGCCCUUUUGUUGGGAAAGAAAAGCAGCAGGUUAAUACCCCGCUGUUCUGACGGUACCCAAAGAAUAAGCACCGGCUAACUUCGUG
rnacentral:rRNA from 1 species